rnacentral:ncRNA from 1 species
AUGAGCCGUGUACGAGACCCGUAUGCACGGUUCUGGAAGAGGGAUGAAGGUAAUAAAUGCUCAAAUAUUUAUUAUCUUCACCCUACUUGAU